rnacentral:rRNA from 1 species
AGGAGCGAUCAUACCAGUACUAAUACAUCGGAUUCCAUCAGAACUUCAAAGUUGAGCGUGCCUGGGCGAGAGUAAUAUUAAGAUGGGCUUUUUCGCAGGACUUUCACAGACACAGGUA